rnacentral:rRNA from 1 species
AGCUCUGUAAGCGUAUACCAAAGUUGUUGCAGUUAAAACGCUCGUAGUCGAAAUUUGGCGGGCGACGUGAGUCGUCUUUACCGACGAUCUCAUGUUGGCCGCCUUUGUGGAGGGGGGUCUAGUGGUGCUUGACCGCUUCGCUAGGUCGCUGCCACCGUUUACUGUGAAAAAAUUAGAGUGUUCAAAGCAGGCGUUUGCCGUGAAUACAUUAGCAUGGAAUAAUAGAAUAGGACCUGGUUCCUAUUUUGUUGGUUUGUUAGGAUCGGGUAAUGAUUAAGAGGGAUGGUUGGGGGCAUUUGUAUUCCAGCGUCAGAGGUGAAAUUCUUGGAUUGUUGGAAGACAAACAGCUGCGAAAGCGUCUGCCAAGGACAUUUUCA